CUCAAAUAAAGGGAAGCCUUGUGAGUGUGUACAGGUAAUAGGGAAUUUUCCAUCUGGCAUCUGGGAUAGGAGAAAGAAGUGAGAACAACAGUGGAGAGGAGUCAAGUCCCAAGUGAUGAGGAAGCAGAACAUUAUCAAGUAUGUUCCGGGCAGGAAUGUGUGGGAAAGAUGAAAGAACCAACAAUAGAAACUGAGAAGAUGCCUCCCAGGAGAGAGGAAGAAAACCACAGGAGCUUGGGAGCCUGGAAGCUAAGUGAAUACAUGUUUUGAGGGGGAGGAAGGCCUCUUACCACCAACAACUUUCAUCACAUUCCAACUGAAAUUGCACAAGAAGAAAAUGCAAAUGGAAGAUUGCUCAGCUGGAAUUCUAGAGAGGAAGAAAGACCAGUAGAGAGAUACAUCAUAAUAUCACAUGCCGGAUCCUGGACUUGAGACUUGGACAACCUGGGUGGAAUAACUGGUUCUGCUGAAGGAGCCAGCAUUAAAAGGAGGCCACAUGUGACAGACAACUCAAAGGCCAUGCUUUGUCCAUGCUGCUGGAACAUCUACCUGCUUUGUGUGUGCAGCAAAUGGUAGUGAGGCCGGCUACCCUCUGAAAAAUUGAAGUCAGUCACAUUCAUCUAAAUUUUCCUUCUGCAAGGAGAGCCACUUCUUACUGGGAAGAGAUCCUGCAAUUCACUGUGAUGAUUACAAGGUGAAAAGUUGACAAAAGGCAAUUUGAAGAUCGCUUUAACAAUUUACUGGAUUUUGGGCAGCCCGGUGGCUCAGAGGUUUAGCGCUGCCUUCAGCCCGGGGCCUGAUCCUGGAGACCCGGGAUGGAGUCCCAUGUCGGGCUCCCUGCAUGGAGCCUGCUUCUCCCUCUGCCUGUGUC